rnacentral:tRNA from 1 species
UCCCAGGCGGCUCAGUGGUAAAGAAUCUGCCUGCUGAGCAGAAGACCCAGGUUCAUUCCCUGGGUUGGGAA